CACUGGAGCAGGUGAAUGUCUGAAGGACACUGUGACCCCCUGGGAAGCCUACACUGGAGCAGGCUCCUGGCAGGACCUGUGGACUGAGGAGCCCACGCUGGAGCAGGUUUCCUGUUAGGACUUGUGACCCUGCAGGGGACCCAUGCUGGAGCAGCUUGUGAAGAACUGCAGCCCGUGGGAAGGACUCACACUGAGAAGUUCAUUGGGGACUGUCUCCCAUGGGAGGGACCCCACGCUGGAGCAGGGGAAGAGUGUGAGGACCCUCCCCCUGAGGAGGAUGGAGCAGCAGAGACAGCGUGUGAUGGACUGACCACAGCUCCAUUCCCUGUCCCCCUGCGCUGCUGGGGUAAGGAGGUGGAGAAAUCAGGAGUGAAGUUGAGCCUGGGAAGAAGGGAGGGGUGGGGGGAAGGUCUCUUAAGAUUUAUUUUUAUUUCUCAUUACCCUACUUUGAUUUGAUCAGUCAUAAACUAAUUUCCCCAAGUCAUGUCUGUUUUGCCCAUGAUGGCAAUUGGUAAUCUCCCGGUCCUUAUCUCAACCCAGGAGCCUUUCCUUAUAUUUUCCCUCCCCUGUCCAGCUGAGGAGGUGAGCAACAGUGGCUUCAGUGAGCAUCUGGCAUCCCAGCCAGGGUCAAGAUCUCUAUAGCCUUGACAAAGAACUGUCAAUAGCUAAGUGAAUGAAGGUUUUCAAACAGUGUCAGGCAGAAAAUGAGGGCUGAAACAUAGGCCCUUCCCACACAGGUUUUCAGUCUACUUGGACAGAAAUUCUGCAAUUUGUUUUUUUCAUGCUGUGUUUUUUUAGGGCAAAAGACAUUUUAUUCACCCAAACAUGGACAGCAGCAUGUAUACCUAUAUUAACACUGAAUAUAACAGACUUAUCUCUGCCACUUGGGAAUUGAACAAAGUCACAUGGCAGGCAUCCAGAUGUCACAGGGAUGAGGACUACAGUAUACUCCAAGGUAACUCUGCAUUAAGAGAUAUAAGCAUUUUUUUUUCCCUGCCAAAACAGAAACUCUCCCUAACCACCCAAUCAAAGCAAACAACCCUUGAAAGUAUAAAAAGUCAGUCUCCCAAAAACCUACAUUCACCAAGAUGAAGCACCUUAGGAAAACAAACAUAACCUCAGUAUACCACGGACUUGGAUCAGGCUACCUCCAAAGGUGUCUUCUAAUUUACUGUAUCAUUUUACGGAAAACAAGGAUGCCAUACGAAAACCUGGAGAAUCUGUGCCUAGCUGUUCUUCCAGCUGAAGGCAAAAAACCAUGGGACCCUUGUAGUAACAGCAGUACGUCAUCUUCAGAUCCACAAAUCUGACAUCAUUAAAGGAAGCUUUUAUUAUAGUAGCUAGCCUCUAACUCAUUAAUUCUUAGGUAUUUACUUCCCUACUCCUGAAGUGCACAAUGCUUCUGAAGUAUGAUGUGCAGUAUUCUGCUCUCAUCUCAUCAAGAGGAUUGUUGCAAUCCUGAAAUCCACAGCUCUGUACACACAGAAGAAAACAAUUUCUAUUUUCUCCCUGUUUCGUGACCAAGUGCUUUUAGUGCAUUUUAUGCCAAGUUAGAUGAGUAUGAUGUGAACAUGUCCUUUCACUAGUAAGAAUUCAGCUCUCUGAAAACAAACUCUAUUAAUUAUUAAAGUCAUGUCUGUAUCUUGGUUAUAAGAAAAUAAAUGGAAGGCAGAAAAUAGAAGAUGAAGAGAACACUCCCGCAUGCCCAGAAUUUUAUAUUCAGAAACUGAGAAAAAAACCCAUUACUUAUGUCAGUGAGACUUUCACAAUUCAUGCAUCAAAGGGUUAAAGAACUAAAACUUCCCCAAGAGUUCAAAUCACUGCGCAUAAAUAUUGUUGUGACUACAGAUUGCAAAAGAACGGAAACACAGUAAAUCAUCCCAUUUUUUCUGAGAAAUUCUGGGACUAUGUUCUGAAUUUCCAGGAACAGAAGACAAACACUGCCAAUUCUCACUGCCGGAUUUUUAUUGAAGAGUUUGAGAAUUUGGAAAGGGCUCCUGAAAGCCACUAAAAGGAGCUGGCAAACCUUUACUGCUGCAUGUCCAUGAGAAUUACUGCUUUCCAGGCAUCUCACAGAAGAUAAAUAUUUGGAGAGAGGAAAAAACCAGCAUAUUCCUUCCUUUGAUCCUGAAGGUCACGAGGUGACUGAAAUCCCAGCUUAAUGAAGACUCUGGUGAUGUUGCAAGUGUCACAGCUUCCAUCAACCCUUUCAAAACACAGCGUUGGAAAGCACAGGAAAGAAAACUGAAGUAAUACCACCCAGGCUUCAUAGACUAUGUCAACUUAAUUAGAAUGGUAUUUUGGCAGCACCCAAAGAUUACAUAUCGAAGGCUGGGUAGCAGGCCAAAUACUUCACUAGAAUAUUUUGCCAAGCCACCUACAUUAAGAGCUACUUCCCUGUUCUUUCAGGGUGCCAUAAAGGAAAUCUGUUGUUUCAGGCCUUAUAAGACUAUUUAACAGAGGCAUGAAACAGUGAACGUCACCAGUACUGAAGGUUAACUAGAUAUGUAUUAAAUGAGAAACAUUCCUAGUUAACCUUCAGACUAGGGAGCUGCUGAAAGGGAACAUUUGUUCUCAAAGGGUGUAGGCUCCAGAUGUAUCCAAAGUGGCUUCCCUACGUACGAUGUAUUUUAACCCACAAAACACCUGUACUCCAAAAGCCUGGAACCCACACACAGGUCUUAUCUGCAUUCUCCCACCCCCGAGGCUGUCCAACUGGUACUGGCAACAGUAGAAAGGAGGGAGAAGACAGCACUUAAGCGUCCCCACGCACAACACAGUUUUACAGCCCUGCGGUACAUCACCCACAGAAACAAAUCAACAUCCAGGCUAUGCACAGAGCUGACCACAACUCUGUUACAGGAUACAAAGAAAGAAAAUCACACACCCUGUGUGUGCAGGGUAUAGGUGAAAUGUAUACCUCUGUACUGUCAUGUCAGUCACUGAGGAAAAACAGGUAUUCCUCACAGCAGUUCACCUCAUUCCACGGCAGCUAUCUAGAAGAGGUCAGAGAAAGCUGGGGUUUGGACUAGGUGGUCUCAAGAGGUGCCUUCCACUACACAAUUCAGUGACGCGCACCACUGGAGCACCAGGUUCUCUUCAUUGAAUAAACACAGUGUUUAGAAAACUGGCUCUGAUGCAGACAUCCAUGAUCUAGAAGUACAAAACCAGCCAGACCAAUCCCUCCACGCUGUACGGCACUGUAACUUCAAACCCUCAGCACCUCUGGACAAGACUGACGAUCAUGCCAGACCAGUCCCCCAGUAUUACCAAGACUUUUAGCAUCUGUACUGCAGAAGUCGAUCAUGACAAAGCUUCAGCUUCUCCCAGCAACUUUUCAGUCCUAAUUUCACUGUGUGUGUGUACAUAUACAUGUAUUAUACACAUGCACUUACAUAUGCACAUGUGAACUCAAAAAGCAGAUAAAGAGCUUCUUUAGCAGCAGUACAGAAUGCAAAAGAGAACUCCUUCAGCUGAUAUGUCAGAAGUCAGCGUUGUGAAGGCCCAACCUCAAAAAAAAAAAAA